rnacentral:ncRNA from 14 species
ACAGGUGACCGAGUGGUUAAGGUGUGAGACUCGAAAUCUUAUGGAUACAUUCUGCACAGGUUCGACUCCUGUUCUGUG